GUGGGGAAUCUUCCGCAAUGGACGAAAGUCUGACGGAGCAACGCCGCGUGAGUGAUGAAGGUCUUCGGAUUGUAAAGCUCUGUUAAUCGGGACGAAAGAGCCUAGUGUGAAUAAUGCUAGGAAGUGACGGUACCGGAAUAGAAAGCCACGGCUAACUACGUGCCAGCAGCCGCGGUAAUACGUAGGUGGCAAGCGUUGUCCGGAAUUAUUGGGCGUAAAGCGCGCGCAGGCGGAUCUGCCAGUCUGUCUUAAAAGUUCGGGGCUUAACCCCGUGAUGGGAUGGAAACUGCAGAUCUAGAGUAUCGGAGAGGAAAGUGGAAUUCCUAGUGUAGCGGUGAAAUGCGUAGAUAUUAGGAAGAACACCAGUGGCGAAGGCGACUUUCUGGACGAAAACUGACGCUGAGGCGCGAAAGCCAGGGGAGCGAACGGGAUUAGAUACCCGUGUAGUCC
rnacentral:rRNA from 1 species